ACCAGAGUGGCGUAGUGGUUUGAGUACUGGACUAAGACUCUGGAGACCAGGGUUUAAAACCCAACUCAGCCA